CUUCGACCAGUGUUGUUGAACUGUCAAAGAUAACUGCUGGAUAUGGUAUUUAAUACCGAAACGGGAUAAUGGCACAUUAAUGCUACAUGACUUCUUAAAGGUUAUUGACUGAGCUUUCCUGCAACAUGAUAUUGGUUCCAAAGCUGGACAUCUCUCAUUGGGGUUUUCAACUCCAUUCAGAGCAUGAGGAUUUGCUACUAUGAGAGAGACAAAUGGGACAGAAGUUUGUACUAAGUGUUGUGGACCAGGUUUCACUGAGCCCUAGGAGGAGGUAGCAUAGAGAUAUUUUCAAUGUCUUCACCUCCAAAAUCCCACUGGGACAAGAAAUAGAGAUGCCAGAAUAUCAUAAGGAAUAUCACAGAGUAGUCCUGCUCCAGUUGGACAUGGGAGCUACUGGAAAGCACAGAAAUAAUCAGCCCAGCUUUGGUCACAAAAAGCUGAGGCACAGGAAUUGAGGUAGAUGUCAUCUACUUGGAUUUUAAGAAGGCCUUCAAUAUGGUAUCUCAUUGUAUUCUCACAGAUAAACUGAGUGGCUGUGAUAUAGAUGAUUACACAGUCAGGCAACAUGCAACAUCCAUGUGGCACCCUUGUCGUCAGACCGCCUUUUUUGGCUCUGUUAUUUGCAUGUGACGAAGUGGUAGUAGAAAAUCAGAGGCUGGCACAGAUCAUGUGUUUGUGUGACACUGAUUCAGGCAUCAUUCAUACGAUUCUGUUAUAAGAUAGUAAAACAAAUUAAUUUUGGCCCCUGCCAGCCAAACUCCACAAGGCUCAUUCCAUUCUUAUGAGUAAAGCCCAGGUAAAGAAAGGUGCCAGAACUGGCAGGUACCCACAGUGAAAAAAUAAAACGAACAUCCCCUACUGAUGUUUUUUAGAAAUGUGGUGCCCUUCUUGCUUGCUCUGAGAGAAUACUGUCACCCCAAUUAGACUGUGCUGCAAAUCAGAAGUGGCACAGCUGCUCCCUGCAGGCCCUUUACAGUUAUUAUUGUAAUUCUCUAAGUCCUAAGAAGGUCUGUACCUCUACCCUGUAAAAGAAGCAUCUUUAUUUGGCCUUGUGCAUGUUUAGUCUGCUGUUUCUUGGCAGAAGUAUUUCAGCGAGUGUAUCCACCAGAUUGACACGAAAGUGUUUUCUUUAGUUGCCAUCUGUCUGGACUGAUUGAAAAAAAGUAAAGUGGAACUUGUUUAGAAAAAAAUAUAAGCCGUUAACUUGGCACAAGGAAUGUAUGAAA